AAUAAAAUAAAACCCAGCCCUCCCCCUACAACAACCCCCACGCUAGGUUCUGGAUAGCACGGACUCUUAUCUAGCCCAAGACCCAGGCGGCCACACCACAAGCCCAAAACCACAGGUGUUUCAGGAAAGAUCACUGGGGGGCUAGCUCGAGAUCCUGCACCUGAACACGAGGUCAGCAGCCUCCCGGACAAUGCAAGCAGAAACUCCGGGGACCUGUCUUCCUGUGCCUAAGGGAUCCAAGGCUUGUUCUGAGACUCCCAUAUGGUGGGCUCCUUGCCGGCCCCUCGGCAUCGGAGGUCCUGGAGCUGGUGUUUGGGGGUCUUUCUAACUGACCACCGGAGGCAGCCUGGGUUCCAGUUGCAAGGUAUUCUGAGGAUGGACUCGAGAACAAAACCUGUUCAUUCAUGACGUCUGCUAUGGACACAAGACAGAAGAGCAUCCGGACGCGGCGUACUUCAGCCUGUGACUGAAGCCUGGGCUCUUGUCAUUCCUUAGCUCUGGCUGCACCAUCCUUUACUGUCUGCCCUUGUUCCCACCAUUCAAUCUAGAAAUAACUUUCAAUCUCACAGGAUUUAGCUGGCGGUGUCCAGUCAGGUGCCAUGGCCCCAGCAUUGCCUGGGUGGGAUCAUACAGGAAAGGAAAUAGAUUUCCUAGUUAAGGUUAGGCUAUGGCAUGUCAUUAGUGCUCUUUUAUAAAUGAAUUAGGUAUAGAUAAGUCAGUGGUUAGAUGGAUGGACGAGCCAAUUUGUGAGGGUGGCAGGGAAGUGACUUCCCUUCUUCUUGUUAAAAAUUAUGAAAGGAAGAGGAAAGAGGGGGAGGAUGGCAAAGGGAAAGUCAUUGUUUCAACCACAGUCUGAAAGGUUUUGUGACAUAUUAUGGAUGGGAGAGAUUUUAAUGUCAGAUUUUAGUGCCAUUUUCUCGGGACUGUGACCUCACAGCCUCGGGACUGUGACUCCACGUGAUUGGGGCUGUGACCCCACAUGUUCAGAGACGUGGCGCCAGUGAAUAGGUCAUGACCCUACGUGCCAGAGGACUUGACCCCAUGUCCCCGGGGUCGUGACCCCAUGUGCUUGAGGCCAUGUCCCCACUUGAUCAGGACUGUGAGCUCACAUCCUCGGGGCGGUGACACCAUGUUCAGGUCCAUGACCCCAUGUCCUCUGAGUAGUGACCCCUUGCGCCAGGGCCUGUGACCCCACAUCCUCGGAGCUGUGACCUCUUGCCUCAGGCAGUGACCCCACGUGAUUGGGGCUAUGAAUGUUGGAAUGUGACCCCUCUGAGCCCUGAUGCCCUCCUUGGUCUAAGUGGGAAACAGAAACCUCACAAGGUGGUUAUGAGAUGUAAAAAUGGGGCCCGGCACAGAGCAGAUCUCAAUAAAAGUCUGUUUCCAAUCU